UCACCUCGAAGGCAGAUCUAACAGAGAACCUGGACUGUCUCCUAUCAUGAUUCCCGGGAAAUAUCGCUCUGUUUCUGGCCGGGCUGCGAACAACGUGAACUGCGGGCUUCAUCUGGUUAUUCAAACAUCACCCCUUCCUGAAAAAAACAAAGUUGAAUUCAAGCUAAAUAAAGACACAUCGUCAUUCCCCGGUAGACUUUUACAACAUGACCUUGAAAGAAACUACUCAAGUAGGCAAGGUGAUCAUAUUAAUUUGGUGAGCUCAUCAUUGUCAUCAUUUCCUAUUCUUCAACGUUCUUCUGAAGAGAAAAUUCUUUACUCAGACAGGUUGAGCCUAGAAAGACAAAAGCUGACCGUAUGUCCUAUCAUCAAUGGGGAAGACCACCUUCGUUUGUUGAACUUUCAACACAAUUUUAUAACUCGGAUACAAAAUAUUUCUAAUCUACAGAAGUUAAUAUCCUUGGAUUUAUAUGAUAACCAGAUUGAAGAAAUUAGUGGGCUUUCGACUCUGAGAUGUCUUCGUGUCCUUCUGUUGGGGAAAAACAGAUUACCAAAAUUGAAAAUAUUAAUCAUUUGUGUGAGUUGAGAGUUUUAAAUCUUGCCAGGAACUUUUUAAGUCAUGUUGAUAAUCUUAAUGGGCUGGAUUCACUAACUGAACUUAACUUGCGACACAAUCAAAUCACUUUCGUGAGAGAUGUGGAUAAUUUGCCCUGUCUCCAACAUCUCUUUCUCAGCUUCAACAAUAUAUCUAGUUUUGACAGUGUUUCCUGCCUUGCUGACUCUUCUUCCCUCUCGGACAUCACCUUUGAUGGCAAUCCCAUAGCUCAAGAGUCAUGGUACAAACACACUGUCCUUCAGAAUAUGAUGCAGCUGCGCCAGCUAGAUAUGAAGAGAAUCACGGAAGAAGAAAGGCGUAUGGCAUCUGUUUUAGCCAAAAAAGAGGAAGAGAAGAAGCGGGAAAGUCAUAAACAAUCUUUGCUUAAGGAGAAGAAAAGGUUAACAAUUAACAACGUAGCUCGACAGUGGGACUUGCAACAACAACGAGUAGCCAAUAUUGCUACAAAUGAAGAUAGAAAAGAUUCUGACUCUCCUCAGGACCCCUGUCAGAUUGAUGGAAGCACCCUCUCUGCAUUCCCAGAGGAAACAGGGUAUGCAAUGGUAUUUUUUCAAGAUACGAGCAUCUUUAGAUAAUUGAAUUUGGAGUGGGAAUUAGAAACCAUUUUACAUAUAAUUAUUUUAAAAGAGUUUUCUUAAGAAAACUUGCUGAAAUUAGAAAUUAAGAUGGAAAAGUUGAAAAUAUAAAUCUUACUAUAACAUUCUCCAAAUUAAAACAUGCUUCAUAGGGCAUUUCAUAUUUUUUAUAGGGAAAAGUCUAGAUUGCUUAAUAUAGUCUAUGAUGUCUUUUGCCCACUUCAUCUCUUUUAUCUCAUGCCAUCAACCAUGU
rnacentral:sRNA from 1 species